rnacentral:rRNA from 1 species
CCUACGGGCGGCAGCAGUGAGGAAUAUUGGUCAAUGGCCGGAAGGCUGAACCAGCCAUGCCGCGUGAAGGUCAGUGCCCUAUGGGCGUUAAACUUCUUUUGUGCGGGAGCAAUAAUGGUCACGUGUGGCCAGACGAGAGUACCGUACGAAUACGCAUCGGCUAACUCCGUGCCAGCAGCCGAGGUAAUACGGGGGGUGCAAGCGUUAUCCGGAGUUUUGGGGUUUAAAGGGGUGGUAGGCUGUGAAGGAAGUCAGCGGUGAAAUGCCCCCGCUCAACGGGGUGAAGUGCCAUUGAUACUGCCUUGCUGGAAUGCGGAUGCCGUGAGAGGAAUGUGUGGUGUAGAGGUGAAAUGCAUAGAUAUCACACAGAACACCGAUUGCGAAGGCAUCUCACGAAUCCGCGAUUGACGCUGAUGCACGAAAGCGUGGGUAUCAAACAGGAUUAGAUACCCCAGUAGUC